rnacentral:lncRNA from 1 species
CAUGCUCGCAGGCCUCCAGAGUACUCCAGCAACAGCCACUGGACGGCAGGUAAGCAUGCAUUGUAUGAGCUUAGCUAAUUGCGUACAUACAAGUUUGGAUGAAUUCCAAGAGAUGGAGCACUCUAUCCAAAUAGGAGAAGUGUUAGUGAGUACAAUUUCACAAUGGUUUUCAUGGGGAGCAAAAUAAUCACCUGCGGCAAAUUUAGGUUCUAGAAUUGACAUAUAUUCAGUUCCUUUUUUUAUAAAGAGAGCUCCCUCUCCGAUUUUCAUUAGAGGAAAUCACCGUGUCUUACCUAUAUUCAGUUCCUGGAAGAACAAAGAAGUUGCAUGUCCUUUUAGUCUGAAAAUCACAUUGAUCCUUGGAGCAUGAUGGGGACAAAUCGCACAUAUGUCCUGUACUGCACACACGUGAAGGCAAAGGAUUUUUCUGAAUGCCAUUGUUGUCCGGUACACAGUGUUUAUCAGUGAGUAAUUUGCCCCUUUCGCAAUGUGAUGAUACUGGCAAUAAGGGAAGCAUCAUAUACCAUUGGUUUUGCUGAACUAGAAAUAACACAACUACAUAUUGAUUUUCUGCUUAAAUUUCACAAUAGAUAUUUUGCCGGAUGACCCACUGUAUGAGGAUGCCACAUCCUUUCUUGCUCACCCAACACACGGCAUUCCUGUAAGCCUCAUACUGUCGAGUUGUUUGACGAGAUGUGCAUCAAUAAUUUCAGUUAAUCCGUGUGCUCGAUUUGAGUGUGACAGGUAUGUCGUUGUGUGCUUCUCAGUACAGUAGAGGUACCACACGGGGUGGUGACUGGGAGGCUGGUACAUGCUAGCACGGCCAAACAGCUGGUUCACUGCGAUCAGGGUGCUAGAGGCUCUUGGGGUUGCAGCUCGCUCGCCUGCUGGAGGUAAGUUUUAUAGCCUCUUUCUUUCAGUAGAUGCUCUUGGAGUAGAGAUAUCAUCCAGACUGUAUCUUUAGUGAAACUUGUAGCUAUGCAGCUUGGCCCUACUAUUCAUGUAGUAUCCCAUAUUCUCAUGCAUUAGGUUUUGUAAACUUUCAGCUCGGCCCUAUGCCAUGUUAAUUGUUAGUGUUUCCUUACAUAUUAUCUGCAUCAUUCUCUAGAAAAACAUAUUAUGUAUGUGCUCUCCUUUCUCUAUCUAAAAAAUCCAUUAUCCUGUCCUAGGCAUAUCACCAGCAAAAUCUGUGAGAGAUGUCACAACAACAGUUCCAUUGUACUGAUAUCAUAGGAAAGGCAUAUUUGCUACAUACUAAAGUUGAAGAAAUGUUUUCGCAAAGAAGAUUCAUUUUCACAUUGCUUGGCAUGCAUCUAGGUCAUGUUGUUUAUUAACACUGAUGAAAGCUGUACUUUUGUAUGUGAAUAGCUUCAAUUCGAGUUCUUCCUAUAUUUUCUGGUAAUUCAUCCCAUCAAAUAGUUUGAUAUUUUUGUCAUUAUUUCAAAAAAUUGAUAACCGCAACAAUCUGAUCAAGUAGUUUGAUAUUUGCUGUCCUUCUUCCAAUUUUUUUUGAUACAAUUGGGUGCUAAUAUGAUCAUGGCCUGAGAUCAUUAAUGAGCAAGGACAUGCAUAGGGAUAUGGGUUCUUUCUACUGAUGCAUAACUCCGUAAUGAUGAAAAGAAGAGCAACAUAUCUCCUUUACCCAACAAGUUUUGUCCGAAACUAAUCAUGAUAUUUUCUUUCUGCAGGUACAAUGUUGAUUAUUUAGAGACCUCAUCUUCAUGAGACUAGCAAGGGAUGGACAUUCUGAAGAAGAAGAGAUGAGGUGAGUUUCUGAAGUUCACCGUCCAAUCCAAGUAUUAAAGGUGAGCAUUACUAUUCAAAGGGACAUAAUUAACCUGUUAAAUUAUUCUUAGAGCAAGGAACCAGUUAUUAUCUAACCGAAUAACUGUAAACUAGCUUCUUUUUCUAAAAUGAGGUGUCGUCUUUAAAUAGAUAUGGACCGGAGAGGGGGCUUGAGAAAUGCUAAUUAGGCUAGAGGCGUAUGAUUUUUUUUUCUCCCGUUGCAAUGCACGGGCAUGUUUGCUAUAAUAAUAAAGCAUCCAGUGGAGGGGUUUAGAAAAAUAGAAACGGUUCUAUUUGAUAUGUAAUUUAGAAAUUAAUGGCUGGAGGAUCCUAAACUAACAUAUGGCAUUUUGUUUCAAUUUCUCUUUACCUGAUUGUGUUACUUAUGCACAAUCACCAUACUUGACAUAGGUCCUGCACUUCCGUUGACGAGUAUUUUGUCAGCAUCUCGAUGCGGAGGUACAACUUUAGCUGAUCUUCGUCAUGUUUUACAUUGUUUCUCAGUACUUUUUACUGCAAUGUGGAGGUCAGAUUCUAGCUGAUAUAUCUUCAUGCUUUACCUUGUUUACCAAUGUCCCAAUGUGGACGUAAAGAUUCUAGCUGAUAUAUCUUCAUGUUUUACCUUGUUUACCAAUGUCCCAAAAUUUUGUUUCGUUUUUGCUUUGAAUUAAUUUUCCUUACUUUGACUGAGUAGGACAUUUAUUUGAAAUACUAAAUUGUGGUGUCGCUACCUCUAAGGACCACAGCGUUGUAGCGCCCUUGGCACAAGGUGACCAUCUUCAGCGCAUCGUGGUGUCGCUGCCCACACGAUCUCUACAGACACCACAAAAGGCUACAGGACCGACAAGGCCGGUGGCCUGACCACUGAAUCACGUUGUUGUGCGGGCGCCUUGAUCUCGCAUGCGGCCGUCUAAAGCCCCAGGGGCCAACCUCGCUCGAGCGUCGCCGACAGGCUCUCUUUUGCACAGGAGAAAAUGGUUGGAUAUAUGUGCCUCCUCCGUCUCUUAUUCCCUGAAAUGUAAUUUGAUGACUCAUUGAUGUCACACUCGCUUAGGAUUAAACUGCACAGGUUAGAUUGACAUUUUGCCCUGUGUUUAAUUACUACAUGCACUGCACGCUGAUCCAUGUAUAUAUUGGCUCCCCUAUAUAUACCUCUAUUGGUGAAAAGUUUUGACUUCCGAGUUUUGUCAGACGUGAGUUGCAGCAAUUUUCAGUUACUUUUCUAUGCCUGUCAUUCAUCUCUGAACCGUUGUGAUGGAGAUUGUAAUACUGUGUUUAGAAUAUGUCAGUCCAUAUGCGAGAUCUUCUUUUCAACUUGGCAACCAU